UAUUACUGAUACAGCUCUGCUGGGUACAGGGUGGAAUAUUACUGAUGCAGCUCUGCUGGGUACAGGGUGGAAUAUUACUGAUGCAGCUCUGCUGGGUACAGGGUGGAAUAUUACUGAUGCAGCUCUGCUGGAUACAGGGUGGAAUAUUACUGAUGCUCUGCUGGAUACAGGGUGGAAUAUUACUGAUGCAGCUCUGCUGGGUACAGGGUGGAAUAUUACUGAUGCAGCUCUGCUGGAUACAGGGUGGAAUAUUACUGAUGCUCUGAUAGAUACAGGGUGGAAUAUUACUGAUGCAGCUCUGCUGGAUACAGGGUGGAAUAUUACUGAUGCAGCUCUGCUGGAUACAGGGUGGAAUAUUACUGAUGCAGCUCUGCUGGGUACAGGGUGGAAUAUUACUGAUGCUCUGCUAGGUACAGGGUGGAAUAUUACUGAUGCAGCUCUGCUGGGUACAGGGUGGAAUAUUACUGAUGCAGCUCUGCUGGGUACAGGGUGGAAUAUUACUGAUGCAGCUCUGCUGGGUACAGGGUGGAUAUUACUGAUGCUCUGAUAGAUACAGGGUGGAAUAUUACUGAUCCAGCUCUGCUGGGUACAGGGUGGAUAUUACUGAUGCUCCGAUACAGGGUGGAAUAUUACUGAUGCAGCUCUGCUGGGUAAAGGGUGGAAUAUUACUGAUGCAGCUCUGCUGGGUACAGGGUGGAUAUUACUGAUUCUCUGAUAGGUACAGGGUGGAAUAUUAUUGAUGCAGCUCUGAUAUGUACAGGGUGGAAUAUAUUCUUUGAGGAUACUAGGUGUGUAGCACAGUAAGUGUCAUAGAAUGUUGUACUUAUAAAAAGCUAUAUAUACAGAUGAUCCCAGAUCAACCUGGUCACUGUGCUGCACAACAGUAGUGCGCAACAUGACAUCACUACCCUUUACAGGUUACAAGAGACACAUCUCUGUCCCAGAGCACAGGCCUCCACUCUAGGUUUAAACACUCAUAACGAGUCACGCUGGCUUUUAAAUUAUUACAGAAGCAACAUGAGGACAGUUAUUACAGUGCUUUCAAUCUUCAAAUGAGAACGUUAACGGUUUCAAGCAUUGACCCUCCGAAAUCCUUAUUAACCUGCCGGGCCUGUUUGAACCAGAGUCACAAAGAUGUGCAGACACCAGCAAGAGCAAUCACAGAAACUCUCAGAUUAAGAAGUUGGAAACUUUGAAGUAGCUUUCCUCAUAUCACCGAGUCUGGAAUCUUACUGCAAUUACAACAUCUGGCCCCCAGGUGAAAAUUAAAGCUAAACAGUAACACUAGGAGACUUCCUUCAGCCACAGCUGUUCAUAGAAGACUGCAGAGAUAUGAAAGCUGAGAAACCCUUUAUGUUCUACUGCAAACUAAACAAGAAGUAAUGGCUAUUUACAGUUGCAUCGCAGAGAAGGCUCUUCAGAACAGCCAUGAGAUCUGCUGGUUCCCAUCUUCACUUCUCAAUAGAUGAAUGAUUGCUACAAGUCCUGGUGCAGGUCCUGGUCUGUGUGGAGGUCCUGGUGCAGGUCCUGGUCUG